ACAGAGGGGGAUAACCCGUAGAAAGGCGGACUAAUUCCGCGUACACUUUCUAUUGGGCAUCCAAUGUAGAGGAAAUGAAAUUCGCUGUGCGAUAGGCAUGCGUCCCAUUACAUAGUUGGUGAGGUACCGGCUCACCAAGGGGACGAUGGGUAGGGGAAGUGAGAGGUUGAACCCCCACACUGGUACUGAGACACGGACCAGACUCCUACGGGAGGCAGCAGUGAGGAAUAUUGGUCAAUGGGCGAGAGCCUGAACCAGCCAAGUCGCGUGAAGGAUGACUGUCUUAUGGAUUGUAAACUUCUUUUGUAGGGGAAUAACGAACGGCACGUGUGCCGUAGUGAAUGUACCGUACGAAUAAGCAUCGGGUAAAUCCGUGCCAGCAGCCGCGGUAAUAUGGAGGCUGCGAGCGUUAUUUACCCCACCAACUAGUUAAUCAGAUGUAGGCUGCUCAAAUAGUGCAAGGUCCGAUGAUCCCGUGCUUUUCCCCUCAGGACGUAUGCGGUAUUAGCCAAUCUUUCGAUUGGUUAUCCCCCACUACUCGGUACAUUCCAAUAUGUUACUCACCCGUUCGCCACUCGCCGGCAGGUGCAAGCACCCCCGCUGCCGUCCGACUUGCAUGUGUAAAGCAUGCCGCCAGCGUUCAAU
rnacentral:rRNA from 1 species